GAUGAACGCUGGCGGCGUGCCUAAUACAUGCAAGUCGAGCGAACAGACGAUGAGCUUGCUCCUCUGACGUUAGCGGCGGACGGGUGAGUAACACGUGGAUAACCUACCUAUAAGACUGGGAUAACUUCGGGAAACCGGAUCUAAUACCGGAUAAUAUAUUGAACCGCAUGGUUCAAUAGUGAAAGACGGUUUUGCUGUCACUUAUAGAUGGAUCCGCGCCGCAUUAGCUAGUUGGUAAGGUAACGGCUUACCAAGGCAACGAUGCGUAGCCGACCUGAGAGGGUGAUCGGCCACACUGGAACUGAGACACGGUCCAGACUCCUACGGGAGGCAGCAGUAGGGAAUCUUCCGCAAUGGGCGAAAGCUUGACGGAGCAACGCCGCGUGAGUGAUGAAGGUCUUCGGAUCGUAAAACUCUGUUAUUAGGGAAGAAAAAAUGUGUAAGUAACUAUGCACGUCUUGACGGUACCUAAUCAGAAAGCCACGGCUAACUACGUG
rnacentral:rRNA from 1 species